rnacentral:lncRNA from 1 species
CCAUUAGAGUAAUCCUUGAUAGUAGAGUGCUUCAAAAGUGAUCAUGCUCAGUGAAAUAUACUCCUACAAAUCACCCAUAUGCCAUACUCGUGUUACCACAUGCUUUGGUUAAGAGGACAACCAACCAUUAUGGCACAUAACGACCUACACUCAAUACAACUAUCGUCCUUGUAAUAAUUGUAUCAUUUGAUCAUGAGCAAGAUUUAAGAACCAUACGAUAAAUCCUCCUUUAUCAUUUGAAAGUAGCUCUAAAGACUUCAUCAUAAUAUAUGAGUUUUAUUUAGAAAAAUAUAUUCCUUACGAUGAAUC